rnacentral:misc_RNA from 1 species
CAACCCUCGAGCCCCCGUGGCCCGGCGUUGGGGAUCUGCCACGGCAGGCCCCUAAAACCAGUGGCGGACCCGAAGGGCCCUCUCCUUUGCGCAGUAGCAUCAGCCUCGCAUCGGGAGUCCUCGGCGUCCUGCCUCUAAACCCCCUACAAGCCCGCCCCGGCGGCACCAA